ACGAACGCUGGCGGCGUGCUUCACACAUGCAAGUCGAACGAUGAAGCCUUAGCUUGCUUUGGUGGGUUAGUGGCGAACGGGUGAGUAACACGUGAGCAACGUGCCCAGGACUCUGGAAUAACCGCGGGAAACCGUGGCUAAUACCGGAUAGGUGCCGAGGCCGCAUGGUCUUCGGUUGGAAAGUUUUUGCGGUUCUGGAUCGGCUCACGGCCUAUCAGCUUGUUGGUGGGGUAAUGGCCUACCAAGGCGACGACGGGUAGCCGGCCUGAGAGGGUGACCGGCCACACUGGGACUGAGACACGGCCCAGACUCCUACGGGAGGCAGCAGUGGGGAAUAUUGCACAAUGGGCGCAAGCCUGAUGCAGCAACGCCGCGUGGGGGAUGACGGCCUUCGGGUUGUAAACCUCUUUUAGUAGGGAAGAAGCGCAAGUGACGGUACCUGCAGAAAAAGCACCGGCUAACUACGUG
rnacentral:rRNA from 1 species